CAAUAGACUUUGUCAUACUGCCCCUGACUCUUAUAUCUUGACAGUAAUCCUCAUUUUAAAUUUUGAUGAUUAUAGGCUAUGUUUGGCUCUGCUCCUUGUUGCACAUGGAACAAGAUGCUGUGGCUGAUCCUCUAACCUAUAUGCUGUCGUAGUGGUCACAGAGUGGUUACAAAAUUUCCCACGGCUCCAGAUCUGUUGUGUGGAUGCUGGACAAGUGCUGGCAGGCACUUCCAUGAUGUUCAAAUCCUGCCAGAGAGAAGAAAGACUCUGUUGACUCCAAGCAGCUGGACACCUCACUUAUUUGUCUUUUCUCAAACCAGACUUCCAGAAGAAGCCUCGAUAGAGUGAUGUGCUCUCUUCAGGCACUGUUCUUGUAUGCACAGAUUGAGUCAUCCAUUCAGGGAAUAGGAAACAUGCACACACUCUGAGUCACUAGACAAAUACAGAAUGCCAAGCAUCAAAAAAUGUAGAAGAGUCUUUGCUUAAAAGAACUUUUGGAAAUUGAGUAUUUCUUAACUGUUACAAACAGUUGUUGAGCAAUUCUGACAAAUCUGUAAAAUUCAUCACUGUCUUGAGGAUAGGAAAAGGAGCAGUUCCAAGAACAGAUGAACUAAUGAAACCUAAUUUCCUAUAAAUAUCUAUUUCAUUUUCAUGUCUUUACUGUUUGAAGAGGAUUAGAAGAUUGCUGGAAACUUGCUGCAUUGCAGAACACUUCUCUCUGAGGGGACUUUCUGGUAUCUAAUGAGAAUUAUUCCAGUCUUUCUCACUGUAGACACAUUAGUGGGGUGUCUGCUGAGAUAAAAUUUGUCAGUACACUCAAAAAUUAAGGUGGGUAGACAGGUGGACACAGACCACUACAGUUAGGCUAAUCUAUAUAGUCUCAUUCUUCUCAGAAAGCAGGUUAGAAGAGCCUUAUAUAUUUGUUAACUGGCAGUCACCAAACUAGAAGUGGUGCCUGAAGCAUUAGUCGUAGCAAGGAGGGAGGUGCUACUCAAAGAGAAACUCAGGGUGAUCCUGUAAUGCCUAACGUGCUGAAAGACGAAGCAAUAAAGUCAGUCAGACAGCGAUAAAGUUAUUUGACUGCAUAUGAAUAUACUCUUAAUCUGUAAGACGGCAUUACCUAAUAAAGUAACAGUUUCAUUCAGAGUCAAAUGCAGCCUGGUAGCUUGCGGAAUAGUUUCCUGCAUAAAUUCAUAAAAACAAUGAGAAAUUGAUCUGACCUGGUUAUGCCUGGUACUGUCUGGUUAUGGAAUGUCCAAAAGCAUGGUGAGGUGUUUGUGUUCAGUCACUGAUCAUUAUUUGAGUACUUUUUUUCUUUUUAAUUAACUUUUUUAUUAUUACUAUUUUACAUAAUUGCUAUGAAUAGCUUCUGAAUUCAAGAGGCCAUAUGAGGUGCAAAGUUAUCUUACGCUAUUUCUGAUCAUAAACAGCACUGCUGUUUAUGAGAUCCUGAGCUCUUGUCUGCGUGACAGUAUGGACCAGAUAGAGUAAGGAGUCUCUUCCUCUUGGGGUAGAAUAACACUCAGCUUCUUACUCUAGUCAGAACACUGCAGGUCGUGUAAUUGUAACAGUGCUGUUUAGUGUGUGCUAGUUGGCUUGGCAAGGAUGGCAAAGAUUUAAAACAACCUGCAUAAAAUUCAACAGGAACGUGACAUGAAAUUUGGAGGAAGGGUCUAGAAACUGGUCAGGUUGUAGAGAGGUGGAGCAUCACCAGAGCUAUUUCUCUUAAAGCAAAGUUUAACUUCAUGAGUAUGGAUCCCUCUUUGUAGAUUAUCUAGCAAGCAGACUCAGUUGCAUACCACAUGUGAGAUGCUCUAAGGCUUGAAAUGGUGAGGUGUAUGUCAGAUAGUAAAAAGAUAUUGCUUGUAUAAAGAUCUCAGUAGAAAGCCAGCUGCAGUGCCAUGUACUCAUGAUAUGCUAUGCCUGUGAGAUAUGUCUCUGAUGAAAUAGUAUUAAUAAUCUGAUCUCCUGUGGGAGGACUCUGGGAGUGUGAAAAUUACAAAGCAUGGAACCGUCUGGAAUAAACUUUUCAGAUUUCUUGUAAAAUUGUACUUAAAGUUGGGGAAAUUAAUCUUCCCCACAACAGGUUUUCCUUUUGUUUCCUUUCUCCUCCCAAGGCUUUUCAUUUCAGCAUUUCCAAAGAUAGCAAUUAAAACUCUGUAGAAGAAGCCAGGCCACUCACUGCUGAUGGAAGUGUUGAACAAGACAUGCUUCUGGAAUCUGGCCACAAGCCACACUGCAUUUCGUUUAGCAAGGCUCAGAGUGUUUUCUCGAUGCUGUUAAUUACACAAGGCCUUGAAAGAAGAGAGCGACUAUGUUAAAUAAAAAUCCAAACUCUCUAGAAACUGGGAACUAUUUUCUC